AUGAACGCUAGCGGCAGGCUUAACACAUGCAAGUCGAGGGGCAACACGGGUAGCAAUACCUGGUGGCGACCGGCGCAAGGGUGCGUAACGCGUGAGCAACAUGCCCUAUACAGGGGGAUAAUCCAGGGAAACUUGGUCUAAUAUCCCAUAGUAUUUAGAGGUGGCAUCACCACUAAAUUAAAGCUUCGGUGGUAUAGGAUUGGCUCGCGUGACAUUAGCUGGAUGGUGGGGUAACGGCGUCACCAUGGCGAUGAUGUCUAGGGGUUCUGAGAGGAAGACCCCCCACACUGGGACUGAGACACGGCCCAGACUCCUACGGGAGGCAGCAGUGAGGAAUAUUGGACAAUGGAUGGAAAUCUGAUCCAGCCAUGCCGCGUGCAGGAAGACGGCCCUAUGGGUUGUAAACUGCUUUUAUAUGGGAGCAAUAAGGUUUACGCGUAGACCGAUGAGAGUACCAUAUGAAUAAGCAUCGGCUAACUCCGUG
rnacentral:rRNA from 1 species